rnacentral:rRNA from 1 species
GUGUCAGUAGGGUGGUCGUGCCACCGGUACGUACUGGUCUCACUGAUUCCUCCUUCCUGAAGAACCGUAAUGCCAUUAAUUUGGUGUUGCGGGGAAACAGGACUGUUACUUUGAAAAAAUUAGAGUGUUUAAAGCAAGCUAACGCUUGAAUACAUUAGCAUGGAAUAAUGAAAUAGGACGUUCGAUCCUAUUUUGUUGGUUUCUAGGAUUGACGUA